ACUCGGUCACUCUUUUCUCUCUCUCUCACGCACUCAUUCUCUGGUUCACCUCACCUCACUCACGAUUCACAAACGCACCACCACCAAUCCACCACAGGACCACCGGCCGCCACCACGGCACCACCAGGCCCCAGCCACCCAGACCCCACUCACUCGGUCACUCCUUUCUCUCUCUCUCACGCACUCAUUCUCUGGUUCACAUUCACGAACGCAUCACAACCAAUCCACCACAGGACCACGACCACCGGCCGCACAACGCACCACCACGGCACCACCGGCACCGACACCGUCCAUCUCUGCUGCUGUUGAAGCCUGAAGGUUCAUUUUGUCCCUGAUGAACGAGGCUAGCUUAUUUCUGCUUCAGAAGAUGGUUUGAUCUGCACAUUUGAUACCACGGGAGAUAUCAAUGAUGAUGAUCAUCUAGAGUCAUUGGAAAGAUGGCAAGCUUCAAUAGAAGACUACGAAAUCUUGCAAAAAGAGACACCAGAUGAUGAGGAAGUUAACCGGGCAUUGUUGGAAGCCAGAGCACAGCUCAAGAAAUAGUAUGGUUAAGACUAACAUUGGAAGUUCAUUUCCCCUAAUUACUUCUCUUUUUUGUUUCUUUUAGUUACUUUUUAUUUUACUUCCGUAGCUAUGCAAAUUAAUGGUGAAAUUGAUAUUACUGAUCCUAUCUGUUGCUAGGAUGCUUAUAUAUGCAGAGCUCAAGCUUCACAUUUUAAAAAAUAGAAGGUUUCUUUGUGUCUUUUGUAUUUUGAACUGCUGUUUUUUUGGCAUGCAAAAUCUGUAAAUUUCUUGUUUACAAAAUUGUAGGUGAUUAAUGUGGGAACUUCCAUUGCCAAGGUAGGGCUUUUUGGAGAGAGUUAUCAGAAGCUUUGGUGUUUAACGCAUAUUGAAACCUUGGGGUACAGUUUAUUUCGGUUAUCUGUUUAGUUCAGGUUACAAAGGUAUAUGAAAGUCUUUUCCCUUUCGCUGUGUUUGGAAUCCUUAAAAUCAUCUUGGAAUUGGAAUGAAUUCUCGUAUGAAUCUGGUUUUAAAUUGUCAUGGUUUAAGACUUUAAUUCAUUUACCAAUCAUUGUGUUUGUAAAUUGUAAUAUCUCAUAAUUUGUUACUUUUAAUGGAUUUGUAAAUCAUUUUCAUUCAACUGAAGUCUUUUCAUUU